CCUGGUUCCUCUCUAGGUUUCUUCCUAGGUUUUGGCCCUUCUAGGGAGUUUUGGCCUUUCUAGGGAGUUUUUCCUAGCCACCGUGCUUCUACACCUGCAUUCUAGCUGUUUGGGGUUUUAGGCUGGGUUUCUGUACAGCACUUCGAGAUAUUAUCUGAUGUACGAAGGGCUAUAUAAAAUAAAAUUGAUUGAAAUUGA